rnacentral:rRNA from 1 species
UACGGGGGGAGCAAGCGUUGUUCGGAUUUACUGGGCGUAAAGGGCGCGUAGGCGGCCAGCGCAAGUCAGUUGUGAAAUCUCCGGGCUUAACUCGGAAAGGUCAGCUGAUACUGCGCGGCUAGAGCGCAGAAGGGGCAACUGGAAUUCUCGGUGUAGCGGUGAAAUGCGUAGAUAUCGAGAGGAACACCUGCGGCGAAGGCGGGUUGCUGGGCUGACACUGACGCUGAUGCGCGAAAGCCAGGGGAGCGAACGGG